AGCCACAGCCAUAUCACCCUGCAGCCCAAGACCGGUUACUGACUGAAGCUAAGCAUUGCUGAGCCAGCUCAGUACCUGGAUGGGAGACCACAUGGAAAAACUAGGUUGCUGUUGGAA
ensembl:rRNA 5S_rRNA 5S ribosomal RNA